rnacentral:rRNA from 1 species
CCCUUAGAUGUCCUGGGCCGCACGCGCGUUACACUGAUGCAUUCAACGAGCUUAUAACCUUGGCUGAGAGGCCUGGGCAAUCUUGUUAACGUGCAUCGUGAUAGGGAUAGAUUAUUGAAAUUAUUAAUCUUGAACGAGGAAUUCCUAGUAAACGCAGAUCAUCAAUCUGCAUUGAUUACGUCCCUGCCCUUUGUACACACCGCCCGUCGCACCUACCGAUUGGAUGGUCCGGUGAAGCCUCGGGAUUGUGGUUCUUGCCGCUUUAUUGUGGCGUGACCGCGAGAACUUGUCUAAACCUUAUCAUCUAGAGGAAGGUGAAGUCGUAACA